rnacentral:tRNA from 1 species
GCUAAUUUAGUUUAAUGAAUAACACGAUGUGGUUGUGUAGGUAUGAAGUUGGCA